rnacentral:rRNA from 1 species
UAAGCCAUAAACAUUGAUAGCUCCUACACCAUGCUAUCCGCCAGAGAACUACUAGUGAAAACUUAAAACUCAAAGGACUUGGCGGUGUCCCAUAUCGACCUAGAGGAGCCUGUCCUAUAAUCGAUACUCCCCGUUCCACCCGACCUUCACUCGCACAUUCAGCCUAUAUACCGCCGUCGACAGUCUACCCCAUGAGGGCCUUUUAGUAGACACAAUAACUACGCUCGCUAGUACGUCAGGUCAAGGUGUAGCAAAUGUUAAGGAAGCGAUUGGCUACAUUUUUUAUUUUAAAACAAACGAAAUGCAACAUGAAACAUUGCACGAAGGCGAAUUUAGUAGUAAAUUGAACAAGAGAGUUCACUUUAACAUCGCUCUGGGACGCGC